UGCGCAGUGAAAUAGUAUGCG
ensembl:piRNA 21ur-3227 ncRNA